GUUCAGCUGUUCUCCCGUGCAGCGAGGUCUAGGGGCAGCCAAACGGAAAACCUCCUCUGAUCACAAGGCAUCUAAGAGAAAAGCCUAGCCACGCUGGGGGCAGAGAUGAUCCUGAGCGCUCCAGCUAAGAAUUGACAGUAAAUCCCUUACCCCAUACACACUCUCAUCACAGGGCAAACACUUCCCCAUGCACAUUGACCUGCAGCGUGCAAGCAAGCUUAGCCUGCAGCCAAGCGUUCUCCCGUGGUACUAAAAUUCAGUCCGCUUAGAGCCAUGGGGAAUGGGAUGAACAAGAUUCUGCCUGGCUUGUUCCUUGGCAACUUUAAAGAUGCUCGAGAUGCGGAGCAACUGAGCAAGAAUAAUGUUACACACAUUCUGUCAAUCCAUGACGGUGCUAGGCCUAUGCUUGAGGACAAGACAUUUCAAAGAGAGCAUCAAGUUUAUCCAUGAGUGCCGGCUUAGAGGUGAGGGCUGUCUUGUUCACUGGUACGUAUGUCAAUUGUUUAAGAAUAUUCUUAAUCUUUUCCUCUCCAUUUUAUUAUCUUUUUUUAAGUCAGU
rnacentral:lncRNA from 1 species